GCCAGUGUAGCUCAGCGGUAGGGCACCCGCUUUGCAUUCAGAGGGUCCCAGGUUCAAUCCCAGGCAUCUCCAGGUA